AAUUAAUAUGAUGAAAGAGUUGGGAGUUAAAGUGCUCCUAGCCUUCCUCCACGCCGAGGGGCUGGGUCUGACCCCUCGGUGUCAAGAGGGGAUCUGUGAGUCGGGGUGUCAGUCCAUUAAUUACCAAUUUCUUGUGCUUUAGGUUCAUUCCUGGUGAUUGCUGAUGUGUUUAUACAGGAACCAUGGUCAUUCUACGACAGCAUAUAGGUCCCUUGAGGGAGGCGAAGCACCGUGCCUGACACAUGAAGAUGGAGCUGGAGACUGCUUUCGAGCUCUGGAGAGCGAUGAAAUGGAUCUAGAGCAGCUUGGGGAAGCAGCAGAGAAGGAAAGUGGUGGCCCAGGAAGCUGGCAAUCCAGACCUUGUACCCACACCCAGCUUUAAACCCCACGAAACAAGCCCUACGUGAAUAACGCUGUCCUUGACGUAGAAAACUAUAUUUUCUGAAGGUACAUGUGGCUUCCUGGCAGAUACCUGUUAUUGUGCAGGCAUUGUUUUUUGUCUAAAAUUGCCCUUUCCCCCUCUUGUCACUUCUCCAGUGGUGAUAGAGAGAGCAGACACUUUCCCUGCCAGCCUUGGGGUUGACUAAAAGCCUCCAAAAUCUGUUUUUUUAAACUCGUAAAACAAACUCCCAACCCUCCUGUGACAGUGGCAGCUCUUUCUGCACCUACCCCAGUUUAGUUAAUACUUCCCAACACCAGAACUGCACACAGCACUGCAGAUGAAAGGGAUCCGUGCAGUUCAUUAAUGAGCAAGAACACAUUUUCUGAUCGAGAGCAUUCGCAGAGACUGCCUGCAACGCUCCAGGAGAUGGUUUUCCUUCCUGGAAGGAAGAAUAGCAGAGGGAUUUUGAAACCUUUCAAUCCAUUCACAAACAUCUCUCAGCUGGGCUCUGCGAGUACUGUUUGCUCGGGGAGCUGACACACAUUUUUCCGGCCCUGGGUGAUAUCGGAUAACACACAUUCAGCCUCGCAUCUCUAAGUGAUUCAUUGUGCCGUAUUUUUUGAUAGCAAGAAGGGGGCGGGGGGGAAAAACAAACAUUAUUGUAGGUCUUCUCAGGGCUGAUCUGUAAUCAUGUAAUUAAAAAGCGAAGUGUAAGCCC
rnacentral:lncRNA from 1 species